rnacentral:rRNA from 1 species
UGGGGAAUUUUGGACAAUGGGGGAAACCCUGAUCCAGCCAUCCCGCGUGUGCGAUGAAGGCCUUCGGGUUGUAAAGCACUUUUGGCAGGAAAGAAACGUCGCGGGUUAAUACCCCGCGAAACUGACGGUACCUGCAGAAUAAGCACCGGCUAACUACGUGCCAGCAGCCGCGGUAAUACGUAGGGUGCAAGCGUUAAUCGGAAUUACUGGGCGUAAAGCGUGCGCAGGCGGUUCGGAAAGAAAGAUGUGAAAUCCCAGAGCUUAACUUUGGAACUGCAUUUUUAACUACCGGGCUAGAGUGUGUCAGAGGGAGGUGGAAUUCCGCGUGUAGCAGUGAAAUGCGUAGAUAUGCGGAGGAACACCGAUGGCGAAGGCAGCCUCCUGGGAUAACACUGACGCUCAUGCACGAAAGCGUGGGGAGCAAAACAGGAUUAGAUACCCUGGUAGUCCACGCCCUAAACGAUGUCAACUAGCUGUUGGGGCCUUCGGGCCUUGGUAGCGCAGCUAACGCGUGAAGUUGACCGCCUGGGGAGUACGGUCGCAAGAUUAAAAACUCAAA